rnacentral:rRNA from 1 species
UAGGGAAUCUUCCACAAUGGACGCAAGUCUGAUGGAGCAACGCCGCGUGAGUGAAGAAGGUUUUCGGAUCGUAAAGCUCUGUUGUUGGUGAAGAAGGAUAGAGGCAGUAACUGGUCUUUAUUUGACGGUAAUCAACCAGAAAGUCACGGCUAACUACGUGCAAGCAGCCGCGGUAAUACGUAGGUGGCAAGCGUUGUCCGGAUUUAUUGGGCGUAAAGCGAGCGCGGGCGGAAUGAUAAGUCUGAUGUGAAAGCCCACGGCUCAACCGUGGAACUGCAUCGGAAACUGUCAUUCUUGAGUGCAGAAGAGGAGAGUGGAAUUCCAUGUGUAGCGGUGGAAUGCGUAGAUAUAUGGAAGAACACCAGUGGCGAAGGCGGCUCUCUGGUCUGCAACUGACGCUGAGGCUCGAAAGCAUGGGUAGCGAACAGG